rnacentral:miRNA from 11 species
UCAUGAUCAUGAUCAUAAUCAUCAUCAUCAUCAUCAUCAUCAUCAUCAUCAUCAUCAUCAUCAUUAUUAUCAAUAUGGACAAAAAUGAUGAUGAUUGAG